CCUACGGGAGGCAGCAGUGAGGAAUAUUGGUCAAUGGCCGUAAGGCUGAACCAGCCAAGUCGCGUGAAGGAAGAAGGAUCUAUGGUUUGUAAACUUCUUUUAUAGGGGAAUAAAGGUAUCCAUGUGUGGAUAUUUGCAUGUACCCUAUGAAUAAGCAUCGGCUAACUCCGUGCCAGCAGCCGCGGUAAUACGGAGGAUGCGAGCGUUAUCCGGAUUUAUUGGGUUUAAAGGGUGCGUAGGUUGUUUUUUAAGUCAGCGGUGAAAGUUUGUGGCUCAACCAUAAAAUUGCCGUUGAAACUGGAAGACGUGAGUGUGUUUGAGGUAGGCGGAAUGCGUGGUGUAGCGGUGAAAUGCAUAGAUAUCACGCAGAACUCCGAUUGCGAAGGCAGCUUACUAAGCCAUAACUGACACUGAAGCACGAAAGCGUGGGGAUCAAACAGGAUUAGAUACCCGGGUAGUC
rnacentral:rRNA from 1 species